UACAGAGGUCCCAAGCGUUGUUCGGAUUCAUUGGGCGUAAAGGGGCCGUAGGCGGCGCGGUAAGUCGGGGGUGAAAUCUCGGAGCUUAACUCCGAAACUGCAUUCGAUACUGCCGUGCUUGAGGACUGGAGAGGAGACUGGAAUUUACGGUGUAGCGGUGAAAUGCGUAGAUAUCGUAAGGAAGACCAGUGGCGAAGGCGGGUCUCUGGACAGUUCCUGACGCUGAGGCACGAAGGCCAGGGGAGCAAACGGG
rnacentral:rRNA from 1 species